AUUGAACGCUGGUGGCAUGCUUUACACAUGCAAGUCGAACGGCAGCGCGGGCUUCGGCCUGGCGGCGAGUGGCGAACGGGUGAGUAAUGCAUCGGAACGUGCCCAGUAGUGGGGGAUAGCCCGGCGAAAGCCGGAUUAAUACCGCAUACGACCUGAGGGUGAAAGCGGGGGACCGAAAGGCCUCGCGCUAUUGGAGCGGCCGAUGUCGGAUUAGCUAGUUGGUGGGGUAAAGGCUUACCAAGGUGACGAUCCGUAGCUGGUCUGAGAGGACGACCAGCCACACUGGGACUGAGACACGGCCCAGACUCCUACGGGAGGCAGCAGUGGGGAAUUUUGGACAAUGGGGGCAACCCUGAUCCAGCCAUGCCGCGUGCGGGAAGAAGGCCUUCGGGUUGUAAACCGCUUUUGUUCGGGAAGAAAUCCUCUGGGCUAAUACCCCGGGGGGAUGACGGUACCGGAAGAAUAAGCACCGGCUAACUACGUG
rnacentral:rRNA from 1 species